UUGGCUUUUUCCAAGAUAUCUAGAAAGUGGAUAUCUAAAUGAAAAUAAUAAGGCUCUGUUGGAAACACAAGCAUACAAAUGGACAGAGAAGAAGAAGAAGAAGAAGAAGAAGAAUUAUGCAGCAGUCGUUUUAAAAGUUUCUAUGAACAUUUUGAUACUUUUUUGUGAUGAAACUGGGUUGCUUUUUCUGCUGCAUCCAUCUUGAAUGCAAGAUGAUUAUAUUUGCUGUCCUCCAUGAAGAAGGAAACUACAAACUCUUCAGGGCACCUUUCAAGCAGAGUGAGUUUGUUGUGCAGCGGAGGUCUCGUGUCCAUCGACCCAUGACUGUGCCCGCCCUUCACAGUCACCACACCAGGUAACACCGUCAUCGUUGCUGUCACGUUGGAAGAAGGCUCUUCUAACCGAUUACCAGCGUUCUCUGUAUGGGUAAAGAUAAGAUGCACAUCUAGAUUUCCACCAGACAGAGAAAUAAGCUGCAGCAGGUUAAGGUUUCCUCCGUGUUGACUUUCCCAAACCUCUGGAGGUUUCCACACCACUGGCCACAUCCCCUGCUGGCAUCAAUGGACCUUGAGAACAACAUAUUUCCCAUCAGACAGCAGAUUAAUCUCAUGUAACUCAUGCACGGUCACAUCCUAGUCGUCUUGCAGUGCUGGGAAGGCUGUGUGGGAGUCCAGCGGCAGAGGGAUGACAUUGGAAGAUGGAAGGAAGGGCUCAGUUCAUGCAUCAUAUCAUCUGA